CCCUUCACUCUAAUGUACAUUUGAUGAUAAAUAUGCCUAUCUAUCUUCUCAUAGUCUCUGUACUUCCGCAGUAAUCUUCGGAGGACUCUCAUUCUUCUCAUCCAUAGCAGCUUUGUAGUCUAACACGAAGAGAAAAGAAAAGAGAAGAUGCAACAAUUUUCUAGAAAAAGUUGAAGUGCUUACUUGAAUUGGCCAAGGAGAUGGUGGUGGUCUCGUUCGGAUCAAGCCAUACUCGACGUUUGCCACAGUCAAGGCUGCUGGCGGCAAGCCGCUUUUGUAGGGUGAGAGACACCAUUGUUUGUUCUGCUUGUGGUGACUUCUUCUCUACACUGGACCAAAAAAAUGCAAACUUGAAAGAGCUUGAGGUGAGCUAAUUGGCUUAAAUGCUUUCUAUAUGAAAACGAAUCUGAAAGGUUUUAUAUAUAAAGUAAAAUGUCAAUUGCUUGGUUUUGUGUUACUUGGGAUGCAAGGAUUAUGCCUUCUUCGUUUCUUCCAUAUUCCCCUUUGUUUCUUUGACCAUUCAAACAGGGCUUGAAAAUUUUAAGUGUUUCCUUGGGGCCAAAGUAAAGUUGUAAUUAAUUUGUUUGUGUUAUUUUUUAUUAAAGUGAGGAAGGAUGAUAUGUUUAACUUCACAUUUAUAAACUGUGGUAAUUGAUAUAUAUGUCAUUGAUUCAGCUA